rnacentral:rRNA from 1 species
CAUGGAGGGUGAGAAUCCCGUCCGGCUGACCUUCAGGACGUUUUACGAUACGCUCUCAAAGAGUCGAGUUGUUUGGGAUUGCAGCUCAAAAUGGGAGGUAAAUUUCCCCUAAGGCUAAAUACCGGCGAGAGACCGAUAGCGAACAAGUACCGUGAGGGAAAGAUGAAAAGAAUUUUGAAAAGAAAGUCAAACAGUACGUGAAAUUGUUGAAAGGGAAACGAUUGAAGCCAGUCGUACCGACGGGAAUUCAACUUCUCGAGUGCUAAUCGUGGGUGACGUUGAGCCUCACGGCCUUCGUUGCUUGUGUUGUUGGUGCUUUUGGGGUGUACUUUUCUGUAUGGUAGGUCAGCAUCGAUUUCGAUCGUCAUAAAAUGAUCGGGGGAAUGUAGCUUCGGUCUCGUAUCGGAGUGUUAUAGACCUUGGUAGAUGUGACGAUUGGGAUCGAGGAUUGCAACGAAUACCCUCUGGGCUAUCCGUCUGACCUCUGAAAGUCGCUCGGGUGUCGAAAGCGUGCUUAUGGCUAUUCGAGUUGGCGGUCAACAGGUUAGAACGUGAUUACAUUCGUUAAGGAUGUUGACGUA